GAUGAACGCUAGCGGCAGGCUUAACACAUGCAAGUCGAGGGGUAACAGGGAUUGCUUGCAAUCCGCUGACGACCGGCGCACGGGUGCGUAACGCGUAUAGAACCUACCUUUUACUGAGGGAUAGCCUUUAGAAAUGAAGAUUAAUACCUCAUAGUAUUUAGAUUUGGCAUCAGAUUUAAAUUAAAGAUUUAUUGGUAAAAGAUGGCUAUGCGUUUUAUUAGCUAGUAGGUAAGGUAACGGCUUACCUAGGCAACGAUAAAUAGGGGCCCUGAGAGGGGGAUCCCCCACACUGGUACUGAGACACGGACCAGACUCCUACGGGAGGCAGCAGUGAGGAAUAUUGGUCAAUGGAGGCAACUCUGAACCAGCCAUGCCGCGUGCAGGAAGACUGCCCUAUGGGUUGUAAACUGCUUUUAUACAGGAAGAAACCGUCCUACGUGUAGGAUCUUGACGGUACUGUAAGAAUAAGCACCGGCUAACUCCG
rnacentral:rRNA from 1 species